rnacentral:rRNA from 1 species
UACGUAGGGUGCAAGCGUUGUCCGGAAUUAUUGGGCGUAAAGAGCUCGUAGGCGGUUUGUCGCGUCGGCUGUGAAAACCUGGGGCUCAACCCCGGGCCUGCAGCCGAUACGGGCAGACUAGAGGUAUGCAGGGGAGAAUGGAAUUCCUGGUGUAGCGGUGAAAUGCGCAGAUAUCAGGAGGAACACCGGUGGCGAAGGCGGUUCUCUGGGCAUUACCUGACGCUGAGGAGCGAAAGUGUGGGGAGCGAACAGG